GACGAACGCUGGCGGCAUGCCUAACACAUGCAAGUCGAGCGAGCAGAUCCCUUCGGGGUGAAGCUAGCGGCGGACGGGUGAGUAACACGUGGGCAACCUGCCUCAUAGAGGGGAAUAGCCUCCCGAAAGGGAGAUUAAUACCGCAUAAGAUUGUAGUUCCGCAUGGAAUAGCAAUUAAAGGAGAAAUCCGCUAUGAGAUGGGCCCGCGGCGCAUUAGCUAGUUGGUGAGGUAACGGCUCACCAAGGCGACGAUGCGUAGCCGACCUGAGAGGGUGAUCGGCCACAUUGGGACUGAGACACGGCCCAGACUCCUACGGGAGGCAG
rnacentral:rRNA from 1 species